rnacentral:rRNA from 1 species
UAGGGAAUCUUCCACAAUGGACGCAAGUCUGAUGGAGCAACGCCGCGUGAGUGAAGAAGGCUUUCGGGUCGUAAAACUCUGUUAUUGAAGAAGAACGUGUGUGACAGUAACUGGUCAUGCAGUGACGGUAUUCAAUCAGAAAGUCACGGCUAACUACGUGCCAGCAGCCGCGGUAAUACGUAGGUGGCAAGCGUUGUCCGGAUUUAUUGGGCGUAAAGCGAGUGCAGGCGGUCUUUUAAGUCUGAUGUGAAAGCCUUCGGCUUAACCGAAGAAGGGCAUCGNAAACUGGGAGACUUGAGUGCAGAAGAGGAGAGUGGAACUCCAUGUGUAGCGGUGAAAUGCGUAGAUAUAUGGAAGAACACCAGUGGCGAAGGCGGCUCUCUGGUCUGUAACUGACGCUGAGGCUCGAAAGCGUGGGUAGCAAAACAGGAUUAGAUACCCUGGUAGUCCACGCCGUAAAACG